AAGCGGUCACCGCUCAAUCGCCCUCGCGGGCGAACCGGGGAACCACCAUCUUCGGGCUGGUUCGAUGUUUCAUCGGACGAGUUCGAAUCGGGGUGAAUCGCGUAUCGAGUCGGGUGUGUUCGGCAAUGGACACGUCACGAUGACACGCGCGUAGGGCCAUUCUUCCGGCCCGAACCCGACAGCUAACUCGGUAGGCGGUAGAGGGAGAACUG
rnacentral:sRNA from 2 species